rnacentral:rRNA from 1 species
AUUGAACGCUGGCGGCAGGCCUAACACAUGCAAGUCGAGCGAGCGGCGGACGGGUGAGUAAUGUAUGGGGACUGCCCGCUAGAGGGGGAUAACUACUGGAAACGGUUGCUAAUACCGCAUACUAUCGGAUAACCCAUAUGGGAUUAGCUAGUAGGUGGGGUAAAGGUUUACCUAGGCGACGAUCUCUAGCUGGUCUGAGAGGAUGAUCAGCCACACUGGGACUGAGACACGGCCCAGAUUCCGAUGGAUGCAGCAGGGGGGAAGAUUGCGCAAUGGGCGCAAGCCGGAUGCAGCCAUGCCGCGUGUAUUAAGAAGGCCUUAGGGUUGUAAAGUACUUUCAGCGGGGAGGCGUUACCCGCAGAAGAAGCACCGGCUAACUCCGUGCCAGCAGCCGCGGUAAUUC